rnacentral:rRNA from 1 species
AUUGAACGCUGGCGGCAUGCUUUACACAUGCAAGUCGAACGGUAACAGGCCGCAAGGUGCUGACGAGUGGCGAACGGGUGAGUAAUGCAUCGGAACGUGCCCAGUCGUGGGGGAUAACGCAGCGAAAGCUGCGCUAAUACCGCAUACGAUCUAUGGAUGAAAGCGGGGGACCGUAAGGCCUCGCGCGAUUGGAGCGGCCGAUGUCAGAUUAGGUAGUUGGUGGGGUAAAGGCUCACCAAGCCAACGAUCUGUAGCUGGUCUGAGAGGACGACCAGCCACACUGGGACUGAGACACGGCCCAGACUCCUACGGGAGGCAGCAGUGGGGAAUUUUGGACAAUGGACGCAAGUCUGAUCCAGCCAUGCCGCGUGCGGGAAGAAGGCCUUCGGGUUGUAAACCGCUUUUGUCGGGGAAGAAAAGGUUCUGGCUAAUACCUGGGACUCAUGACGGUACCUGAAGAAUAAGCACCGGCUAACUACGUGCCAGCAGCCGCCGUAACAC